rnacentral:rRNA from 1 species
ACGGGAGGCAGCAGUGAGGAAUAUUGGUCAAUGGGCGGAAGCCUGAACCAGCCAAGUCGCGUGAAGGAUGAAGGUAUUAUGUAUUGUAAACUUCUUUAGCAGUGGAGUAAUAAGGAGGAUGUAUCCUCUGAUGCAAGUACACUGAGAAUAAGGAUCGGCUAACUCCGUGCCAGCAGCCGCGGUAAUACGGAGGAUCCGAGCGUUAUCCGGAUUUAUUGGGUUUAAAGGGUGCGCAGGCGGCAUUUUAAGUCAGCGGUUAAAUCGUGAGGCUCAACCUCAUCGCGCCGUUGAUACUGGAGUGCUUGAUUGCGGUCGAGGUAGGCGGAAUUCGUCGUGUAGCGGUGAAAUGCAUAGAUAUGACGAAGAACACCGAUUGCGUAGGCAGCUUACCAGGCCGUAAAUGACGCUCAUGCACGAAAGUGCGGGGAUCGAACAGGAUUAGAUACCCUGGUA